AUGUCGUCGGUGGAGCCCGGCUCCCGUAGGAGUCCGGGCGGAGCUGCGCUGCAAACAAAGCCAAGGGUGAAGUCCGGCUCUGAUAGGAGUCUGGAUUGAGCUUACCAGCAGUUGAUACUAAGGGCGGAGCCUGGCUCCCGUGGGAGUCCGGGCGGAGCUGUUCUGAUGCUGGCGGCGGAGUCCGGCUCCCAUAGGAGUCCGGGCGGAGCUGCACUUGCUGAUGGCGGUUCC
rnacentral:lncRNA from 1 species